CCAAAAAUUCGCACGUUUAAAUGGAUUUCCUGCCUCUGUCCCCGGGGUUGGGCGACGCAUCGCGAGACAUCGGAGAGUCGUUUUGUCACAGGUACAUCGAGCAUAACUCUACGCUGGAGCAUGAAGGUAUCUGACUGCCGAGAGUCGAUUUUUUCUCAAAAGGGGGAAAAACAAAGGUAAUACGAUUAUACGGAUUCCACGGAUCGUCCUAUUCGGUAGGGUUUUCUCUUGUUGCUUACAUAAAUACAAUCUGGACACGUUCGGGACUAAUGGUGGCUAAUCUUUUUUCGAUCGACUCGAAUGACAAAGUUCGUUAUUCAUAUAUCACAUUUCGUGUUUAAAUCCCUUAAACGCUAGCGUAAAUGAAAUUCCACACUGUGCAUGGUUUGUUUUGUCGUGUUCGAUCGGUGAAUUUCGUUUUAUACGCAAUUAUAAUAUUUAAUCGAAGAAUAAAAUUGUACGAGUACCUUAUUACGCACUUAGUAUUUUCCAUUGAUAUCGUAAUAUUAAAUGUAUUGUAAGUUUGUAAAAAAUAGUUCUAUAAUGGAAUAUAUUAAUUUUAUUUGUUUAAUCAAUUAUCAAUUUUUAAAAUAAAAAAGAAAUGCACACGGGAUGAAAUUUCAUCUGUGACAGCGUUAACGUGAUUUCCUUCGAUGACAACUUUUAAGGCUGAUUCUUCAAAACAAAAAUAAAUAUCUAGAUUUUACUAUCUCGUAUCGUUUUUCUUUUUUUACAUUAAAAUAUUCAUGUAAUGAAAAAUUAUCAUUCAGGCAACGGUAUUAUACAUAUAUGAUCUUCUCCGUUAAGAUUGAAGACGCAAGAACGCAAGAGGUUUAAUCAUAAAAACAUCAAGCAAUGCGAUAUAGGUGUUCUCCUGAUGCAAUACUCGGGGACACAAAUGGUUGUCGUACACCGUCGUUAUAAUGCUUCGAAGGGAUUAAGCGGCUGUAUGAGUUCGAAUAAUACCGUAUGAGCGUAAACUUGCGGAACAGUUGAAAACAAAAGCUCGAAGCCGGUUGGUGAUCACGUGUAGAUACCACUGAUCGUGAUAUAUGAAUAUAGACUACAAUUACUCUUCGGAACCUUGCAUCAGUGUCACUGGAUUAUUUAUAGCUAUAAAGGAAUUCACGGUGUGGUUAAACUGGGCCGAUGAUGGUUAUUGGAAAACUGCAUAUCAGCAAGGUCACAUCAACGAGUAUCUAGGCACCAUAAUUAAUGGCGAAAAGGGAGAGAUAGAAAAAAAAAAAAAAAUGACGGAAUUCCUGUAGCGGAAGAAUAACAGAGAGUUCGAAAAUGACAAAAUGUCGGAAAUAAAGUCUAUUAAUAAUUCGGUUUAUUUAUGGAAACGGGGCGCACGAUGAAAAAAUUGUAGUCAUCGUCAUCGUUAUAUUUGCUCACACACGCGAUAAUUUGAACUGCUCUUUAGCCGCGACGUAUUACGAUUCAUUUCAACAGCGUUAUCAAUUCGUAUAUUGUAAUAAACGUUUCAUGGAAAUGUUGUUCGCGAUAAAAUACAAAGAUAGUACUGUAGGCACGCAGGAAAGAUCAAAAUGAUUUUUCUUCGCCAAGCAUUAACAUCUUCAUUCAAAUUAAAUAAGUUUCCUUUUGCAACUCUCAGAAGAAUAAAUUUCCUUAUUAAGCAAUGGUACACAUAUGUUAUAUACAUUAAUCUUUCUGGUACAUAACAAACAAUUUGGCCUUCUUAUAAUAUAUGUACGUCAAAUAAUAGGCUCGCAACAAAUAUGCUUAAGAAAGUCAGUGUUGUAAUGUAUAUUUAUUAACUGAACACAUUGAAAGAAACAUAUGCCAGGGUAGUAUAAACAUUGAUACUAAAACAUACUCAUGAAUAUACAUCAAAUUGUGCCGUAAGUCCUUGAAGAAGAUUGUGAUACUAUUUUCUUAAAAAAGUAAUCGAUUCGCUAAAAGAAGAUGGAAAAUAAUUGUACACAUACUAUUCGUAUGAAAGCUAAAAACAACACUGACAAGUAUCGUAUGAAACAUGCAUUUAAAUUAACCUGCAUUCAAGCAAUAAUUUACGUGCAAAUUGGAUCAUUACAAAUUAUACCCUUUAUAUAAAUAUGGCUUAUUAUUUGAAGAAAGUGA